rnacentral:lncRNA from 1 species
GGCGGAAAACAUUGUUCUUCUUCUCCAAAGCUGAAUCCAUUCCCAAAACUCGCCAAAUUUCAGGCGAGUGAAACCCAAACUCGCACCUCGCGUUUUCCCCUUUCUCCUCCUACCAUAUUACAACUGUUUCCGACAGAUUCCCUUUCCCUCACAUGCUUCUUCGAUUUAUCUAGGAUUUUUUCACCCUUCAGAUGAAAAUAAGGAAAAAUAGGGAGCGUUAGAUUGGAUUUGAGCUAAUCUACUCCCUCCAUUUAUCCCUCUUUCAUUAGAAACGGGGUAAAAAAUCAGUUUGGGAGAGGAUUUUUUGUUUUGGGAAUUUUCUUGAAGAGGAAGGAAGAAGAUUCGAGAAGAUACGAAAGUCUAUAUAAGGUGAAGACCUUUUCUUGUGUAGGGGGAUUGUUUUUUUGGGGAAAGAAUUGGUCAGAGAGAAUUUUCGAGAGAAAGUUUGAUAAAUAUUAAGGUUCUUCUUAAUCUUCUUUCACAUUCUUUUUCCUUCCAGAAAACGCAAAACAAAAAAAUGAUUCUGUUUUGUUUUUGAUUAAUUGGUAACGUGAGAUUUUAGGUUGGUUUAAGUGACAAUUACAAAAAAAAAACCGUUUCUUCAUUUUUUAUUUUGGUUCUGGUGGUCAAAAUCAUGGGAGUUGAUUGAGGUGCUCAAGUUCGAGUUUCGUCGUCGAGUUCAUUUUGAUUGAAGUUGUGGUUUCUCUAUUAUCUGUUGGUGUAACUGCUGAAAUCUCCUUGUCAUUAGGAUUUGUUUCUUCAGGUUCAUCCCUUCCCUCUUCUAUUUACUUGUUGUUUAUGGUGAAUAGAAACCUUGAAAAAGCCAUUUAAAGUGAGGUUAUUGUUACACUUAGUUGCUUAACCUGAUGGGCCAGUCCAUGAGAUUUUUAAGACAAUGGAAAAUCAGUUUUAACUUGAUCUUGUCAUGGUGUGGUUCAUUUUAAUUUGUUACGCGUUCGUAAAUCUGAGGCUAUAAGUUCGUUUCAGAUUGUUUAGCCUCUACUGAUUUGUCUAUGAGUUCUUUGUUGUUUGCUGGUAAUCGUUUUCAGACUUUUAUGCACAUUAGAAGAUUCAAAUGAUCCUUUCUGCAUUGGAUUGUUUUCGUUGGCUAUUAGGCUUGGAUUGACGCAAAUAAUUUUGUUGGCAGUAGUUGAUUUUUUCAUUGGAUAUUAAGUUUGGAUGAUUUGUUUUUAGUGUAAUGGGCAGUAAGGAGAUUCACAACUCCAUCUCCAUAUCUUCAUGACUUUGUUUCACCUCUGAGAAUAACUACACUACUAUACUUCAUAAAACAAUUUGUCAGAUUGCGUUAUUCGUAUUUUUCAAGAGCACAAAGGGCGAGUAAGGGUAUUGCCAAUUAUUUUGGACUCCUGUUUCCAAAUUCUCUCUGCUUUCGAUAAUCCUGGUAUGACAUUCUAUCUAUUUCUG